GCUGUGAGGACCCUCCUGUAAUGCUUGCACCAAGCAGCUUUAAGGGGCAGCUUGUGCACAAGGUGUUUUAUGUUAAGUUUUGCUGCUUAAUUUGUAGUUUACUGCAAUAAUUGUCACGUACCUGCUGAGGGUGCAGUGGGCUGAAGCCCCAGGUGUAGCCACUGCCCCUGCUUCCUUUCCUGUGCCUGGGACCCUCUGGCCAGAACUGAACCAGAGGAGCUGCUGGCAAUAAAACCCAUGUGAAUUUAAGGGAGCUUCCUCAACCAUGGCACUGCUGGGAACUGGCCAGCCUGCACAUUUGAUGUGUACCAACAGUCAGAGACCCAUUCUCCCCUGGAUAGGAAAGUGUCACCAAGAUGGGACUUUCUGUGGAGCCUAAGGAUAUCCUGGAAUACAAAAAAAAUGAAGGAAAAUAUCCUCUGGACUUCCUCCUGGAAGGAAAGCUAGCAGGUGCCAUGCAGACAGGAACACAAGCCCUUCUGUAGCUGAGGAGUGAUUUGUGUCUUCUCCAAUAGGAUACUACAAAGUUUGUGAAAUUCUGCCUUGGUUGUAAAUGCUCCACUGCCCCUCACCUUCAGCAUGGACAGAAAUAUCAAUAUUGCCUUUCUCUGGCUGCACAGAACAGUGCAGGUCCACACACCAGCUCCAGCUUCCCCACGGGCAAGUAAAGGGGUCCCAAAGCAGCUGCUGAAGCAGCAGCACUCAGCCACACAUGGGCAGCCCAUGGGGGCUUAUUCAGUUCAAUCCCACAGGAAGUGCACCCCACACUGAGCUGAGAUGGUAUGCAUGCAAGAAGGUCUCACCUGUCCCACCUGCUGGCUUUCUGGGGCCCUUGGGAGUGGCUGAGAUAAAACGGCUGGGGAGGAAAUGUGUUAGUCAUAGGCAUCACCAAAAAUGGCACCUCUGGAUUGAGAAUGAAUGGCAAAGAUUUCACCACAACUUUCUGACAUCUGCAUUUGUAAACUCAGGGCAAGGGGCCCUUAACACCCUGCAUACAAUGUGUGGCCACAAAGAUUGGGACUGUCCAUGGGUGAAAAUGGAACCCAGUGCUCUACAGGGCACUGCUGCCUUGAGAUAAGCCAGCAUCCCAUCCCAGCUGGUGAAGAGCAAGGAGCUGCAACAAUCUGCUCUAAAGUUCCUUUGAUACAGCAGCAGACAGGCAAGAGUAGAUGCUGCACAGAACAGCAUUGCAGCCAGCAGCAAGUUGCCAAAGUUUUGGUGUCCCUGGCCUGGUCAGUCAGUCCAACAACAGAUAAUUUCCCAUGGUGUGUUAUGUACGGGAGAUUCCCUGUCAGCUGGAGGGCUUUCAGUGACACCCUGAUACUCAAAUCCCAGCUCCCCUUGCUGCUCCUGGGCUAAAACAAGCUACAGACAGCCAUUGAGGGAGGAGGGAGCGAGCAAUAUGGAAAACACUGCCUAAUAAUAGUGGCUGGCAUUACUAAGUAUAUGAAUAAAGUAUGAGCAAGA